rnacentral:snRNA from 1 species
CUAUUGAAUAACUCACUUUCAGGGCCUUGCAUAAGACCCAGUGAACAAUUUUUGGAGACCCUUCUCUUCGGAUUAGGGUG